GACGAACGCUGGCGGCGUGCUUAACACAUGCAAGUCGUACGGUAAGGCCCUUUCGGGGGUACACGAGUGUCGAACGGGUGAGUAACACGUGAGUAACCUGCCCACAACUUUGGGAUAACGCUAGGAAACUGGUGCUAAUACUGGAUAUGUGCUCCUGCUGCAUGGUGGGGGUUGGAAAGCUCCGGCGGUUGUGGAUGGACUCGCGGCCUAUCAGCUUGUUGGUGGGGUAGUGGCCUACCAAGGCGGCGUCGGGUAGCCGGCCUGAGAGGGUGACCGGCCACAUUGGGACUGAGAUACGGCCCAGACUCCCACGGGAGGCAGCAGUGGGGAAUAUUGCACAAUGGGCGCAAGCCUGAUGCAGCAACGCCGCGUGCGGGAUGACGGCCUUCGGGUUGUAAACCGCUUUCGGCAGGGACGAAGCUUUUUGUGACGGUACCUGCAGAAGAAGCACCGGCUAACUACGUG
rnacentral:rRNA from 1 species